rnacentral:rRNA from 1 species
GACGUAGGAUGCAAGCGUUGUCCGGAUUUAUUGGGCGUAAAGAGUUCGUAGGCGGUUUAUUAAGUUUGAUGUUAAAUACUGAGGCUCAACCUCGGAACUGCAUUGAAUACUGGUAGACUUGAGUACAGUAGAGGUAAGUGGAAUUCCCAGUGUAGCGGUGAAAUGCGUAGAUAUUGGGAAGAACACCGGUGGCGUAAGCGACUUACUGGGCUGUAACUGACGCUGAGGAACGAAAGCCAGGGGAGCAAAUGGG